rnacentral:rRNA from 1 species
AUGGCCCGGAGCGCGUACUCGACGGCGCCGAGGCGGAAGCUGGCGAGGGCGGGGCCGAAGCCGAUGGAGAACUGGGAGACGUGGAUGCCCCGGGAGGUGGCGGCGACGAAGUGGCCGGACUCGUGGACGAGCACGAUGGACGCGAGGACGGACGCGGCGGACGCGACGGACUGGACGCUGGCGAGGAGGUCGGACGGGGAGGCCGCGACGGCGACGGCGACGGAGAAGGGCUUGUUGGCGAGGUGGGAAUGGGGGUGGCGGUGGCGGCGCAGCGGGCCGGCGGCGAGGGAGGGCGAGUGGAAAAAGGGGCGGAAUGGUGGCUUGGAGAUAAUCAUGGUGAGAGGGGAGGAAGUGGAUAAUUUGGCAUCCUUGGGAGCUUGGAGGUGUGGCCGGUUUGUUGGCCAUGGCUGUGUGGUGUGGGUUGACGCAGGCGGGGCGACUGACCGCGGCCACAGCAUUAUGAGGAGUUUUGCUCAGCGAGCCUGUGUUACAUGGUGA